GCAGGUAAAUUUUCAUUACCAUUGCAUUAUCCACAACCUAGUAUAUAAAAAAUAUCGCAUAAUUAUUUUCUUUUGCAGUUCUGAUAGCUCAGAUUCCAAUGAGCCUGCUGUUAAAGUGGUCUCCCAGGGAAAACCAAGAAAGACGUGUCUGAAAACCAAGAAGGAAAGGAGUUUAAUUUUUGAAUCAUCUGCCAGAAGAAUUCCUAAACAGCCACAUGAACCAAAGAGUGAAGCAAAAAAAUCAGAAGAACCUUCUCACCGAAUUUCCAAGAGUCAAGAACAUAUACUUAAAAAUACUCAGAUUUUUCAGAGAUUGA
rnacentral:lncRNA from 1 species